rnacentral:rRNA from 1 species
UACGUAGGGUGCAAGCGUUAGUCGGAAUUACUGGGCGUAAAGCGUGCGCAGGCGGUUUUGUAAGUCUGACGUGAAAUCCCCGGGCUCAACCUGGGAAUUGCGUUGGAGACUGCAAGGCUAGAAUCUGGCAGAGGGGGGUAGAAUUCCACGUGUAGCAGUGAAAUGCGUAGAUAUGUGGAGGAACACCGAUGGCGAAGGCAGCCCCCUGGGUCAAGAUUGACGCUCAUGCACGAAAGCGUGGGGAGCAAACAGG